GUGGUUGAUGAGAGAACGUUUGAACCAUAUACAAAAUGGAUUUACAGUUGAACUGGUUCAGCUAGAGCUUGACUGGUUUAUAUUGUGUAAAAAUAUUGGUUUAUUUUAAUUUAGAAUGGUUAAACUAGGUUGUAAGCAUGUAGGAUGGUUGGUGUCUUUGGAAUUGUGAUACGAAAGUGUUUUACCCAAAACAUUUAGCAUUUGUAUCUUAUGAUUAAUUUACUUAAUUGAAACAAAAUACCAGAUUCUCUGUUCA